UGGGGAAUAUUGGGCAAUGGGGGAAACCCUGACCCAGCAACGCCGCGUGAAGGAAGAAGGUCUUCGGAUUGUAAACUUCUGUCAUUGGGGACGAAGGAAGUGACGGUACCCAAUGAGGAAGCCCCGGCUAACUACGUGCCAGCAGCCGCGGUAAUACGUAGGGGGCGAGCGUUGUCCGGAAUUACUGGGCGUAAAGGGUGCGUAGGCGGCGAUGCAAGUCCAUUGUGAAAAGCCCGGGCUUAACCUGGGAGGUGCAGUGGAAACUGCAUGGCUUGAGUGCAGGAGAGGAAAGUGGAAUUCCUAGUGUAGCGGUGAAAUGCGUAGAUAUUAGGAGGAACACCAGUGGCGAAGGCGGGUAACUGGACUGCAACUGACGCUGAGGCGCGAAAGUGUGGGGAGCAAACAGG
rnacentral:rRNA from 2 species